CUCAUGUGCUUCAAGGGAUUUUGAUGCUUUACCAGCUCUGAUCAUGGGGCAUGUGGCUCUAGCUGAGGCAUAUCAGAAUGAUCUCAUCCCACUGGCCACAGGAUGUGGCUCAUGGGAAAUGGCAGGUGGAGGAGCUGCUUCUGCCAGCUGGAUCUGCAAUUCGGACAGCACGAAGAGCAUGGAAACGGGGCCAUUACCCAGUUUGCUAAAUUAAAGAAGGCAACCAGUCUCGGCAGGCCAUCAGCUCCACACAGUCACUGCCCUACUGUACAUGCCAACGACCCAUCUGAGGGAUCAGCUUCCCUUUGCUCCCCAAACGAGAGCCUCUGCUCUUGGGCACCUCAGAGAUGCGUGUGUGUGUGUGUGUGUGUGUGUGUGUGUGUGUGUGUGCGCGUGUGUGUGCAUGCAGACUAUUUGGAAAUUCGCUUUUAGAUGGAUUAAUGCUCGGUAAAGCUCUCAUGUUUCUCCAAAGUAUAUCCAGUGAGUAACAGUAGUAUUUUCAAUCAAUAGUAUUGCUUGCUAAAAUAACAGAUCUACAAUAAAGCCUUCUA
rnacentral:lncRNA from 1 species